rnacentral:rRNA from 1 species
CGCGCAGGCGGCUUUGUAAGUCAGAUGUGAAAGCCCGGGGCUCAACCCCGGAAGUGCAUUUGAAACUAUAAGGCUUGAGUAUGGGAGAGGGAAGUGGAAUUCCUGGUGUAGAGGUGAAAUUCGUAGAUAUCAGGAGGAACACCGGUGGCGAAGGCGACUUCCUGGACCAAUACUGACGCUGAGGCGCGAAGGCGUGGGGAGCAAACA